rnacentral:rRNA from 1 species
UGGGGAAUUUUACGCAAUGGGCGAAAGCCUGACGUAGCGACACCGCGUGAGCGAAGAAGCCUUUUGGGGUGUAAAGCUCUGUCAGCUGGGACGAAACAAAUGACGGUACCAGCAGAGGAAGCAUCGGCUAACUACGUGCCAGCAGCCGCGGUAAGACGUAGGAUGCAAGCGUUGUCCGGAUUUAUUGGGCGUAAAGAGUUCGUAGGCGGUUUGUUAAGUCUGGUGUUAAAAAUCAGGGCUCAACCCUGGGGCUGCAUUGGAUACUGGCAGACUGGAGUGCGGUAGAGGUAAGUGGAAUUUCUGGUGUAGCGGUGAAAUGCGUAGAUAUCAGAAAGAACACCAGUGGCGUAGGCGACUUACUGGGCCGUAACUGACGCUGAGGAACGAAAGCCAGGGGAGCAAAUGGG